rnacentral:rRNA from 1 species
UACGUAGGGUGCAAGCGUUGUCCGGAAUUAUUGGGCGUAAAGGGUUCGUAGGCGGUUUGUCGCGUCGGGAGUGAAAACACGGGGCUUAACCCCGUGCCUGCUUCCGAUACGGGCAGACUAGAGGUAUGCAGGGGAGAACGGAAUUCCUGGUGUAGCGGUGAAAUGCGCAGAUAUCAGGAGGAACACCGGUGGCGAAGGCGGUUCUCUGGGCAUUACCUGACGCUGAGGAGCGAAAGUGUGGGGAGCGAACAGG